GAUGAACGCUGGCGGCGUGCCUAAUACAUGCAAGUCGAGCGAACAGACGAGGAGCUUGCUCCUCUGACGUUAGCGGCGGACGGGUGAGUAACACGUGGAUAACCUACCUAUAAGACUGGGAUAACUUCGGGAAACCGGAGCUAAUACCGGAUAAUAUAUUGAACCGCAUGGUUCAAUAGUGAAAGACGGUUUUGCUGUCACUUAUAGAUGGAUCCGCGCCGCAUUAGCUAGUUGGUAAGGUAACGGCUUACCAAGGCAACGAUGCGUAGCCGACCUGAGAGGGUGAUCGGCCACACUGGAACUGAGACACGGUCCAGACUCCUACGGGAGGCAGCAGUAGGGAAUCUUCCGCGAUGGGCGAAAGCUUGACGGAGCAACGCCGCGUGAGUGAUGAAGGUCUUCGGAUCGUAAAACUCUGUUAUUAGGGAAGACCAAAUGUGUAAGUAACUAUGCACGUCUUGACGGUACCUAAUCAGAAAGCCACGGCUAACUACGUG
rnacentral:rRNA from 1 species